rnacentral:rRNA from 1 species
UACGGAGGGGGGCUAGCGUUGUUCGGAAUUACUGGGCGUAAAGCGCGCGUAGGCGGACCUGCAAGUCGGGGGGUGAAAGCCCGAGGCUCAACCUCGGAACUGCCUUCGAUACUGCGGGUCUCGAGUCCGGGAGAGGUGAGUGGAAUUCCUAGUGUAGAGGUGAAAUUCGUAGAUAUUCGGAAGAACACCAGUGGCGAAGGCGACUUGCUGGGCUUGGUCUGACGCUGAGGCGCGAAAGCGUGGGGAGCAAACAGG